UACGGGGGGGGCAAGCGUUGUUCGGAAUUACUGGGCGUAAAGGGCUCGUAGGUGGCCAACUAAGUCAGACGUGAAAUCCCUCGGCUUAACCGGGGAACUGCGUCUGAUACUGGAUGGCUUGAGUUCGGGAGAGGGAUGCGGAAUUCCAGGUGUAGCGGUGAAAUGCGUAGAUAUCUGGAGGAACACCGGUGGCGAAGGCGGCAUCCUGGACCGACACUGACGCUGAGGAGCGAAAGCGUGGGGAGCAAACGGG
rnacentral:rRNA from 1 species